rnacentral:rRNA from 1 species
GAGGAAUAUUGCACAAUGGGCGAAAGCCUGAUGCAGCAACGCCGCGUGGAGGAUGAAGGCCUUCGGGUCGUAAACUCCUUUUCUGGGGGACGAGAAAGGACGGUACCCCAGGAAUAAGUCUCGGCUAACUACGUGCCAGCAGCCGCGGUAAUACGUAGGAGGCGAACGUUAUCCGGAAUUACUGGGCGUAAAGCGCACGCAGGCGGCUUCGUAAGUCCGACGUGAAAGCUCCCGGCUUAACUGGGAGAGGCCGUUGGAUACUGCGAAGCUCGAGGUUAGGAGAGGAAAGUGGAAUUCCCGGUGUAGUGGUGGAAUGCGUAGAUAUCGGGAGGAACCCCAGUGGCGAAAGCGACUUUCUAGCCUACACCUGACGCUGAGGUGCGAAAGCGUGGGGAGCGAAC